rnacentral:tRNA from 1 species
AGAGACUUAAGUUAGUACCCAGACUAAGAGCCUUCAAAGCUCUCAACGGAAGUGAAAAUCUCCCAGUCCCUG